GACGAACGCUGGCGGCGAUGCCUAACACAUGCAAGUCGAACGAGACCUUCGGGUCUAGUGGCGCACGGGUGCGUAACGCGUGGGAAUCUGCCCUUGGGUUCGGAAUAACUCGCCGAAAGGCGUGCUAAUACCGGAUGAUGUCGUAAGACCAAAGAUUUAUCGCCCAGGGAUGAGCCCGCGUAAGAUUAGGUAGUUGGUGAGGUAAAGGCUCACCAAGCCGACGAUCUUUAGCUGGUCUGAGAGGAUGAUCAGCCACACUGGGACUGAGACACGGCCCAG
rnacentral:rRNA from 1 species